UACGUAGGGUGCAAGCGUUGUCCGGAAUUAUUGGGCGUAAAGAGCUCGUAGGUGGUCUGUUGCGUCGGCUGUGAAAUCCCGAGGCUCAACCUCGGGCCUGCAGCCGAUACGGGCAGACUAGAGUUCGGCAGGGGAGACUGGAAUUCCUGGUGUAGCGGUGAAAUGCGCAGAUAUCAGGAGGAACACCGGUGGCGAAGGCGGGUCUCUGGGCUGAUACUGACACUGAGGAGCGAAAGCGUGGGGAGCGAACAGG
rnacentral:rRNA from 1 species